CCUACGGGGGGCAGCAGUGGGGAAUAUUGCGCAAUGGGCGAAAGCCUGACGCAGCAACGCCGCGUGCGGGAUGAAGGCCUUCGGGUUGUAAACCGCUUUCGGCAGGGACGAAAUUGACGGUACCUGCAGAAGAAGCCCCGGCCAACUACGUGCCAGCAGCCGCGGUAACACGUAGGGGGCGAGCGUUGUCCGGAUUUAUUGGGCGUAAAGAGCUCGUAGGCGGCUCAGUAAGUCAGCUGUUAAAGCUCCAGGCUCAACCUGGAGAGGCCAGUUGAUACUGCUGUGGCUAGAGUCCGGUAGGGGAGUGCGGAAUUCCUGGUGUAGCGGUGGAAUGCGCAGAUAUCAGGAGGAACACCGAUGGCGAAGGCAGCACUCUGGGCCGGUACUGACGCUGAGGAGCGAAAGCGUGGGUAGCAAACAGGAUUAGAUACCCCUGUAGUC
rnacentral:rRNA from 1 species